UACCAGCACCCCGAGUGGUCGGGACGAUUAUUGGGCCUAAAGCAUCCGUAGCCGGUCCUACAAGUCCUCCGUUAAAUCCACCUGCUUAACAGAUGGGCUGCGGAAGAUACUAUAGGGCUAGGAGGCGGGAGAGGCAAGCGGUACUCAGUGGGUAGGGGUAAAAUCCUCUGAUCCAUUGAAGACCACCAGUGGCGAAGGCGGCUUGCCAGAACGCGCUCGACGGUGAGGGAUGAAAGCUGGGGGAGCAAACCGG
rnacentral:rRNA from 1 species